GCAACCUGCUCAUAAACCUCCAUAGGAGAAAUCUCCUGCUAGUGCUGCUCCUUUCAGGCAGAAAUCAGGAGAACAUCAGGAGUGGGGUCUCCUCAGAGCCUCACACCACAGAGCUAAGCAGAGUGUGAGGUGAAUUCCCCAUUGAGGGAGCUGUGGCACUGGAGACGAGUGUUGGUAUCCUCUGACUCUUUUAAUGCCAUUACAGAGAAGCUGCAGCCUGUUAUUUCCCAAACUCACCUCCUGUCAUUUCUUGCAGAGUUUCAAAUUGUCUUCAGUUACCUAGAAACCCGUGUAAGGAGGUGUAAAUGUUCUGGGUUAAAGCAAGGCAAGGUGUGCGGGCAGAAAUCACAGAGCUCUUGCUGGGUCAGCAGCUGAUGUUGCAGAUGAGCUGUGAAGAAAGCAGACAGGCUUUUGGGCACAGCAGGGCACCAAAGGCAUCCCAGGGUGGCUCCUGAUUCACAGUGCCCCCACAUCACUGGGUGCUGGCCUUGGGGACUCCUGCCUAAUUCUCCUCUUGGAUGGAGACCCAACCUGCUGCAGGGCCACUCGUGUGUGAGCCAGCCCUCCGUGUGCCCCAGUUUGCCUUUUGUAAAAC
rnacentral:lncRNA from 1 species